rnacentral:rRNA from 1 species
GAGGGAAAGGUGAAAAGCACUUCGAACAGAAGAGUGAAAUAGUCCCUGAACCCAUACGCCUACAAGCAGUCGGAGCCGCUUCGUGCGGUGACGGCGUGCCUUUUGCAUAAUGAGCCUACGAGUUACUCAUCACCAGCGAGGUUAAGUACUUCAGGUACGUAAGCCGAAGCGAAAGCGAGUCUGAAUAGGGCGUCAAGUUGGUGGUGGUAGACGCGAAACCUUAGUGAUCUACCCAUGGGCAGGGUGAAGGUUUGGUAACACAAACUGGAGGCCCGAACCGGUAAACGUUGAAAAGUUUUCGGAUGACCUGUGGGUAGGGGUGAAAGGCCAAUCAAACUGGGAAAUAGCUCGUACUCUCCGAAAUGCAUUUAGGUGCAGCCUCUGUUGUUUUGUUCUAGAGGUAGAGCUACUGAUUGGAUGCGAGGGCUUCACCGCCUAUCAAAUCCGGCCAAACUCCGAAUGCUAGAACAUGAAGACAGGGAGUGAGCCAGCGGGUGCUAAGGUCCGUUGACGAAAGAGGGAGAACUCAGACCAUCAGCUAAGGUCCCCAAUUAUAUGCUAAGUUGGAAUUAAAACGGGGUGGGACUGCUUAGACAGCUAGGAUGUUGGCUUGGAAGCAGCCAUUCAUUUAAAGAGUGCGUAACAGCUCACUAGUCGAGCGGUCCUGCAUGGAUAAUACGCGGGCAUAAGCAUAUAACCGAAGCUAUGGGAUUGUAGAUGAUACAAUCGGUAGGAGAGCAUUCCAUUCAGCAUAGAAGCAGUACCGUGAGGUAUUGUGGAGCGGAUGGAAAAGCAAAUGUAGGCAUAAGUAACGAUAAUGCGGGUGAGAACCCCGCACGCCGAAAGAUCAAGGAUUCCCCGGCAAUGUCAAUCAUCCGGGGGUAAGUCGGAUCCUAAGGGUAAGCCGAGUGGCGAUCCCGAUGGUAAACAGGUUAAUAUUCCUGUACUGAUCAUAACUGCGAUGCAGCGACGCAGAGGUGACACUGCUGCGUACUGACGGAAUAGUACGUUGAAACCCGUAUUCUUUGAUACCGGUAGUGAAGCACGCCGGUAGAGAUGAAAGGUGAUAGUACCGCAAUGCUUCGGUUGCGCGGAUAACGCAGGUAAGCUGACUGCCAAGAAAACCUGCUAAGCUUCAGGUAAUGAUCAUCCGUACUGUAAACGGACACACGUGAUCAGGUAGAAAAUACUAAGGCGCUCGAGAGAUUCAUGGUUAAGGAACUAGGCAAAAUGGUCCUGUAACUUCGGGAUAAAGGACGCUCUUGUGAAAGAGCCGCAGAUAAUAGGCCCAGGCGACUGUUUACCAAAAACACAUGGCUAUGCUAAUUCGCAAGAAGAUGUAUAUGGCCUGACACCUGCCCGGUGCCGGAAGGUUAAGAGGAGAGCUCAGAGGCAACUCGAAGGUUUGAAUUGAAGCCCCGGUAAACGGCGGCCGUAACUAUAACGGUCCUAAGGUAGCGAAAUUCCUUGUCGGGUAAGUUCCGACCUGCACGAAUGGUGUAACGAUCUGGGUACUGUCUCAACCAUGAGCUCGGUGAAAUUGUAGUUCCGGUGAAGAUGCCGGAUACCCGCAACGGGACGGAAAGACCCCGUGAACCUUUACUGCAGCUUUGCAUUGAUUUUGGGUAACAGAUGUGUAGGAUAGGUCGGAGGCUUUGAUGCUGCGUCGUCAGGCGUAGAGUAGCCGUCGUUGAAAUACGACCCUUUUGUUAUCUGAGGUCUAACCCGUUAGGGAGACAUUGCAUGGUGGGUAGUUUGACUGGGGUGGUCGCCUCCAAAAGUGUAACGGAGGCUUCUCAAGGUACCCUCAAGGCGUUUGGUAAUCGUCUGCAGAGUGCAAUGGCAUAAGGGUGCUUGACUGUGAGACCGACACGUCGAUCAGGUUGGAAACAAGAGCAUAGUGAUCCGGUGGUUCCGCAUGGAAGGGCCAUCGCU